UACGUAGGGGGCGAGCGUUAUCCGGAUUUAUUGGGCGUAAAGGGUGUGUAGGCGGUUUGUUAAGUCUAAAAUCAAAGCCCGAGGCUUAACCUCGGUUCGUUUUAGAAACUGGCAAACUAGAGUACAGUAGAGGCAAGUGGAAUUUCUAGUGUAGCGGUUAAAUGCGUAGAUAUUAGAAGGAACACCAGUGGCGAAGGCGGCUUGCUGGGCUGUUACUGACGCUGAGACACGAAAGCGUGGGGAGCAAACAGG
rnacentral:rRNA from 1 species